rnacentral:tRNA from 1 species
AAGAUAAUAGUUAAAUAAAUAACAAUAUUAUGUCAAAAUAUAAUUGCCCCUAAUUAAGCUUUUCUUA